rnacentral:rRNA from 1 species
AUUGAGCGCUGGCGGCAGGCUUAACACAUGCAAGUCGAGCGGGGGAAGGUAGCUUGCUACCGGACCUAGCGGCGGACGGGUGAGUAAUGCUUAGGAAUCUGCCUAUUAGUGGGGGACAACAUCUCGAAAGGGAUGCUAAUACCGCAUACGUCCUACGGGAGAAAGCAGGGGAUCUUCGGACCUUGCGCUAAUAGAUGAGCCUAAGUCGGAUUAGCUAGCUGGUGGGGUAAAGGGCUACCAAGGCGAAGAUCUGUAGCGGGUCUGAGAGGAUGAUCCGCCACACUGGGACUGAGACACGGCCCGGACUCCUACGGGAGGCAGCAGUGGGGAAUAUUGGACAAUGGGGGGAACCCUGAUCCAGCCAUGCCGCGUGUGUGAAGAAGGCCUUAUGGUUGUAAAGCACUUUAAGCGAGGAGGAGGCUACUUUAGUUAAUACCUAGAGAUAGUGGACGUUACUCGCAGAAUAAGCACCGGCUAACUCUGUGCCAGCAGCCGCCGUAA